UACGUAGGGCGCAAGCGUUGUCCGGAAUUAUUGGGCGUAAAGAGCUCGUAGGUGGCUUGUCGCGUCUGCCGUGAAAGCCCAUGGCUUAACUGUGGGUCUGCGGUGGAUACGGGCUGGCUAGAGGUAGGUAGGGGCAAGCGUAAUUCCUGGUGUAGCGGUGAAAUGCGCAGAUAUCAGGAGGAACACCGGUGGCGAAGGCGGCUUGCUGGCCCGGUACUGACGCUGAGGUGCGAAAGCGUGGGGAGCAAACAGG
rnacentral:rRNA from 1 species